rnacentral:lncRNA from 1 species
AUGUUAUUAAUUGUAAUCAUAACAAAAGUUUAUUAUUAAAGUUCUCCAUUUCUUUAAAACCUAGGUGGGCAAGAUACUAAAUACUUUUCUUGGAAUAUGUCAUCUUGAUUGAAAACUACUAGGAUAUUUUUGAAAAAGUAGCUCAUUAGCUGGCCGGCUCAGCUAAAAUCUGAGUUCCUGCUUCAUAACCAGGAAAAAUUACACACAUAGACACAUUGAAAGUCGAGGAGAGUGGAAUAUAUUAAAAGAAAGCUCUCAGCAAAGAAAGGGGGUCCUGCCAACAGGCUCUCACCUCACAUAUUGAGUAUCAGACCACCACACAGGAGCUGAAGAGACCAGGCUUCUCCCUGCAUGAAGUGUGAAUUCCCGGUGUCUCCACCCCAUUUUCCCAGUGUACAGAAUCUCACUCUGUCACUCAGGCUGGAGUGCAGAGGCACAGUCACGAUUCACUACAACCUCAACCUCCUGGCUCAAGUGAUCUUCCCACCUUAGCCUCUCCAGUAGCUAGGAUUAAAGGUAAGUGCCACUGUUCCCCGCUAAGUUUUGUAUUUUCUGUAGAGACAAGGUUUCACCAUGUUGCCCAGGC